rnacentral:rRNA from 1 species
UACGUAGGGUCCGAGCGUUGUCCGGAAUUAUUGGGCGUAAAGGGCUCGUAGGCGGUCUGUCGCGUCGGGAGUGAAAACUCGGGGCUUAACUCCGAGCCUGCUUCUGAUACGGGCAGACUAGAGGUAUGCAGGGGAGAACGGAAUUCCUGGUGUAGCGGUGAAAUGCGCAGAUAUCAGGAGGAACACCGGUGGCGAAGGCGGUUCUCUGGGCAUUACCUGACGCUGAGGAGCGAAAGUGUGGGGAGCGAACAGG